rnacentral:rRNA from 1 species
UACAGAGACUGCAAGCGUUAUUCGGAUUCACUGGGCGUAAAGGGUGCGCAGGCGGCCGGGUGGGUCAGAUGUGAAAUCCCGAGGCUUAACCUCGGAACUGCGUCUGAAACUACUCGGCUAGAGUAUUGGAGAGGGUAACGGAAUUCACGGUGUAGCAGUGAAAUGCGUAGAUAUCGGGAGGAACAUCAGUGGCGAAGGCGGCGAUCUGGGAAGAUACUGACGCUGAGGUGCGAAAGCGUGGGGAGCAAACAGG